rnacentral:rRNA from 1 species
UGGAUGAGUGGCGAACGGGUGAGUAACACGUGAGUAACCUGCCCCCUUCUUUGGGAUAACGGUCGGAAACGGCUGCUAAUACCGGGUAUUCACUGUCCUUCGCAUGGGGGGUGGUGGAAAGGUUUUUUCUGGUGGGGGAUGGGCUCGCGGCCGUAUCAGCUUGUUGGUGGGGUGAUGGCUUACCAACGGCUUUGACGGGUAACCGGCCUGAGAGGGUGACCGGUCACAUUGGGACUGAGAUACGGCCCAGACUCCUACGGGAGGCAGCAGUGGGGAAUAUUGCACAAUGGGCGAAAGCCUGAUGCAGCGACGCCGCGUGAGGGAUGACGGCCUUCGGGUUGUAAACCUCUUUCGCUCAUGGUCAAUCCGCAACAGUGGUUGUGGUGAGGGUAGUGGGUAAAGAAGCACCGGCUAAUUACGUGCCAGCAG